rnacentral:rRNA from 1 species
AACGAACGCUGGCGGCGUGCCUAACACAUGCAAGUCGUGCGAGAGAGUUCCUUCGGGAGCGAGUAAAGCGGCGCACGGGUGAGUAACACGUAGGUAACCUGCCCCCCAGUCUGGAACAACUAGAGGAAACUCUAGCUAAUGCCGGAUGAGACCACGAUCCCUUCGGGGGUUGCGGCCAAAGAUGGCCUCUACUUGUAAGCUAUCGCUGAGGGAUGGGCCUGCGGGCCAUUAGCUUGUUGGUGAGGUAACGGCUCACCAAGGCUGUGAUGGCUAGCUGGUCUGAGAGGAUGACCAGCCACACUGGGACUGAGACACGGCCCAGACUCCUACGGGAGGCAGCAGUGGGGAAUAUUGCGCAAUGGGCGAAAGCCUGACGCAGCGACGCCGCGUGGGUGAUGAAGGCC